rnacentral:sRNA from 1 species
GCUUAGUUAUAGUCCAGACAAUAUCAGUUCCUCACCUUGAACUAUCUUUGUAGCACCAUAAACUAGGCUACCGAGAUUCUAACGCCUUGCAAAUGGAAGUACGUAAAUGCGUUGCCGUCGCUUUACAAGAAGAGAUAUAUCAACUCUGCAUUCUUGUUUUAAAUCCGGCGGCUAGCUGUAAGCACCUUAUAAAUCAUCCAAGACAUGCUCAUCGCUAUCACCCCUUCAUUCUCAGGUGAUUCCAUCACCCAUAAAAGUCUGAAAGUGGUUUCUCCAAUUCCGAUGCGCCUGCCGCGUCUGGGUUCGCGAUUCUCAACGUUUCUUCUCUUUUGACCAUUUCCCACAUUGUCUUUGUUCUUACCUGCGCUAGGGCUGUUCCUCUCUGCUUUAAGAUAAAAGCAGUAUCACGGGGUGCAAGCGAUCCCUUGAACGUAGGCAAAGUGCUGCUGGUACGCAUGCUCUGCGAAACAUACUCUCUUUCGGAGAUGACAAACGGAGUGCAAUUAUCUGAGGGAGCGGCAUCUUCAGGCGACCUUGAACUCUUACUGAUAGGCCCGGAAUACAUCUUCAUGCCUCCGGAUGAGCUUCCGAGUGCAGGGGAAUAAAAGCUCCUAGGUGCGAGAAGUCCCAUAGGAGUAUUGCCUCCUCUUUUGUUGAUAGAAUUGACAACUUCUCGCACAGGCCGUCGUCUUGCCUUAUGUGCAGAUGCGGCGCAAAAAUCAGAUGAUGCUCCAGAGCUGAUCGGUGUUACAUGUUCAGGAGGAGGCUCCAUUUCACUCGGGGAAUGGGAAGGGAUAGACGGGUCCGUCUGGGAUGUGCCAGUGGCAGCUUCUUCCAGACUUGAAUCCUUGUCAGAACCAGGGGGAAUAGGCGAAUCUAUGACAGUGCCUGGAUCCACAAUCGCAUUUAACGACAGAUCCAAAACUCUGGGCUCGAAAGCCAGGCUGUCCAUCAAAAUCGCCGCCUCACACCCUUCACGCGACGUCACUUGCUUACAGGCGAAGCCAUUUUUUCCCUCAUGAUCCUCCUUUGGCGCGCAUACGUUCUCAAUGGAUUCUCUUCGCUGUAGACGGUUUGUUAAGCCUGUGGCUUCCAGCUCGCGGGACCCGCCAGAAUCACUCCUAUCAAUGAUGCCAAAUGUCUCAAUGCAGUCCUGCGUCUCUUCUUUCUGUACAAUGAUCAUGUCCCUCAUAGACCUGAGGGACGUAAGACUGGAAAGACUAGGGCCAUAAGAGUCGUUUGGUGGACACUCUCGAGAAACCUUGUCCCUCCAGUUCACCGGUGGAUGUUGUCUAUUUUCAUGCGCAACCAAGGAUGGAGUUGCAAUCGUUAAAGGACAAAGCUGAUCUUGAGAGAUAACAGGCCAGAGAGUUGGUUGUGGCGCAGGAUCACGGAUUUUUAGCUGAUUCAUAGACAAGCGCCCACUGGCUUGACUCGGUCGGCGGCUCAAGAAAGCGGAUGCGCUUGCUUCGGCCAUACGCCUAAAGAUCGAGUCGUUGCGGUAAAGGGGGGGCUGAUUCGUUGGAGAUGGCUGAUUUUCCGCAGCAAGAUGGGCGUCCUGACUAAAACACUCGUCCAUGUCACCAGAGUGGCGAGAGGCGAGGGAUUCACGGAUGCGUGCAGAAUGUGGAUUCGACCUUAGCGAGUCAUAUCCAGGUAUGGGAAAGGCAUUGGUGACCCCUGGAAAUUCAAGCGGUUCAGAAGGCGUGACGUUCGGGAGCCGGUAUUGUAAAGACUCGUAAUGCGAGCUUCGAGGCAUGAGAACCGCCUCUGUCUGAGUGGGGAAUAGUAACGGAUCACCGAUUUCCUUCUCCUCAGUACCAUUAUUACUGUUUGAUGAAUACAAUUUUUCAGCAUGGUUUCUCAAGCCGCCAGGCUCCUU